AUUGAACGCUGGCGGCAUGCCUUACACAUGCAAGUCGAACGGCAGCACGGGAGCAAUCCUGGUGGCGAGUGGCGAACGGGUGAGUAAUAUAUCGGAACGUGCCCAGUCGUGGGGGAUAACGCAGCGAAAGCUGUGCUAAUACCGCAUACGAUCUACGGAUGAAAGCGGGGGAUCGCAAGACCUCGCGCGAUUGGAGCGGCCGAUAUCAGAUUAGGUUGUUGGUGGGGUAAAAGCCCACCAAGCCGACGAUCUGUAGCUGGUCUGAGAGGACGACCAGCCACACUGGAACUGAGACACGGUCCAGACUCCUACGGGAGGCAGCAGUGGGGAAUUUUGGACAAUGGGCGAAAGCCUGAUCCAGCAAUGCCGCGUGCAGGAUGAAGGCCUUCGGGUUGUAAACUGCUUUUGUACGGAACGAAACGGUCUGCUCUAAUACAGUGGGCUAAUGACGGUACCGUAAGAAUAAGCACCGGCUAACUACGUGCCAGCAGCCGCGGUAAUACGUAGGGUGCGAGCGUUAAUCGGAAUUACUGGGCGUAAAGCGUGCGCAGGCGGUUAUAUAAGACAGAUGUGAAAUCCCCGGGCUCAACCUGGGACCUGCAUUUGUGACUGUAUAGCUAGAGUGCGGCAGAGGGGGAUGGAAUUCCGCGUGUAGCAGUGAAAUGCGUAGAUAUGCGGAGGAACACCGAUGGCGAAGGC
rnacentral:rRNA from 1 species